rnacentral:lncRNA from 1 species
GGCGACCCAUUCCGGCCGACGAUUUGGUUAAACGGAGAAUCACGCGGUUCAUUUCCUGGCCAUAAUGAAGCCCCAAAUUGAAAAUCAUAGUCACCGGCCGCCUGACCGGAGAGCGUACUUGGCCCGGAGCUACAUCCUUCACCAUAAGGUCCGUUGCUAAAUUCGCCGCUAAAUUCUCUUAGUAUAAAGUUGUUCCUUACAUUCGGAGAAAACAAUUGCAUCGAAGAAUGAACUUCCGAUUGAUUGUUGUUCUCGAAUUCAUAAGGUAAAGUCAGCUGCAUUUGCGGGAGAUCUGUAAAACUGGAUGUUAGGAUCGCCGGUCCAAAAACCGAAACAUCCUCAAUCGGUAACAUCCGAUCCAAACUCUUAUGAAAUUGCUGCUUUAAUGAUUCCACUAGAGACUGCAUCGAACGGAUAAUUCUGUUUCAGUUUUGUUUCUAUAAGAAAGUUUCCGGGAGGAAUUAGAAAUUUAGAAUACAAACCAUUUGAAUUCCGGCGAGUUUUUCGAGGGGGAGAUAGUUUUGGCCGUCGAAGGUUGCUCCGACCACCGUGAAAACGGAAUUGAACAAAAGUCCGAUCCCAUCUACCUCAUACAUAUAAAGCUUAUCGUCUAGAACACAAGCUUUAGCAUGCUUGAUAAUCGUUUCCCAUGUCUUGUUACAUGAUCCACCAAGUAUCUGUAUAAUCGGAUCCAGAUAAUUUAGCGAAUUGCAUCGAUAAUAAACCUCUCAUGAAAUUAAUUAUCAACAUUCUCUUACCUUGCGUAACGAGGAUUCAUUAGCAACAUACAUUUGUAAAAAAUCCUUCACUGUUCGUAUUCUAUUCACCCCUAAUCGCUUAUGAAAAGCUCCAUCUUUUGCUAUUUUCUCCAAUCUCCAUACAUCAUCACUCAAACAUGGAGGAUGGUGUUUCUUGUAUGCUGAAUCAAUAAAAAAAAAGCUAUUAGCUAUAAAGUCUUAAUCGAUUAAGAUCAUGAAAAGACAAUAAACUUACAUUCUCCACGAUGAUCUUUCACUACAAAAGCAUCACUUCUCGCUUCUCUGAUUCUAACUCCGGAAUUAGCUACUGCACCUAUCCGGAAUGUCCGAUUCCUUCUCCAACUGGAAUUAUCAGUGAAAUAAACUUCACCAAGAUCCCCAAUUCCAUCUUUCAAAACCACCACCAAAUCUCCGGCGACUAGCGGCCGUUUUCCAUCUCUUGCUUGUAUAAUUUUGGCCUCAAAAUCCUUUUGAGACCAAUCUUCUUCUUCAUCGUAACAAAAAUCGCCAUCAAGUGGAACGAUUUGGAUCUUUAAUGAAGAAUAAGGUCCAGAUGUUACAAUUUUAUUGGAAUCGGUGUCAAAUAGGACUAAUCUGACAGGAGAAUUAUCCUCCGAUUCCACCCUGCUACCCGUGAACAACAUUUGAGGCAACUUCGUUUGGAAACGAAGUUGCAGCGAUGAUGACUCACAUCGUUCAAACGCGUUAAAUGGUGAUCUGUCAUAAAGAUCAAAAAUGACAGAAUCAGAAUCAGACUUUAAUAACAUAACUUUAAAGAUAAUAACAUGAACUAGCUAUUGAUUGACGAUAGGUGUUCGUUGUUUCUGAUUUUUUAGUGGGUCCCAUGUUUUUUUUUUUUUUUAAUUUAAAUUUAUUGUACUAUUCGAUAACAUAAUUUUAAAGAUAUUAUAUAACCUUGGUGAUGAACAACAAAAGCUGUGACAUGCACGUUGCACCUCUUCUCGGACCUGUUAAACCCCAAGAACACAAUCAAGAACAUAUAAGAUUCAAAAUCCUAUAAAAGUUACAAAAUGGGUUCUCGAAAAGGUGAAAUUAUGAUUAAUCGAAUGAAUAAGAGAGAAAAAAAAAAGUGGUAUUUACCCAUCCUCGAAUGAAUGGUUCCAAUGAUGAUGCAAAUUCUUGUGAUGAAAUUCCUUGCAUUACAUUUCUAACAAAACUAUAAAGAAAACAAAAUUCGAUGUCAAAAAAUAUAUAUAAUUAGAAAUACAUGAUUUGAUUUAUAAUAAGUUGAAAAUAGAAUAAAAGAAUUGAUCACAAACUUUGAGGAGGCGAAUCUUUGUUUGGCUUGAUGAUUAGCUUCAUAAUCAUCCUCUUCCCGUUGGCCAGAAGGUCGUUUUAGUACCAUCAAACACACAAUAGAUAAUUGAAUAAUUACAGUUUAUGAUGUAGAGAUCAGAUCCAAACAGCAAAACUAACAACCUAUUUAAAGAAAAUGUGAGAGGCAACUUCUUUGAAGCUUCCAAGUCAACUAAAAAUUAUAUAAAAUAAUCAAGAACAGUACAAGGACUACGUGGACCACAGUGUGUGUGAAGGCGUAGGUGUGGGUGUGGGUGUGGGUUUCUUGUAUAAUUAAUUAAUAUGCUUUUUGGGUAUCAUAUUAGUCCAAAGUGCAUUAGAUACACCAACAGAAUCUUUUUCUAGAAAUAUAUAUAUUUAUUUCAUGUUUUUUUCCAAGAAGAUUGCUUGGGGCUUACUUCUUUUGCCAAUAAUAAAUGAAUAAAUUCUCUAUCGAAGACAAGUAUGAAGUACCCCACAAAUAUUAAAACAUAACCGCGUAUAUUUGGGAAAGUAACGUCUUUUUUCUAAACAAUCUUUUCAUGUUGUCUGCCUGAUAAAGACUAAAGAUUGCAUGGUUUGUAACAUAGAUCAGUAAAAAUGUUUUAGUUGUUUUAGCUAAUAAAUGCAAAAAAACAAUAGCAAUUUAUUUUCAUUAAUUUGUUUAUUAUAGCAUUUGUAUUCAUUUCUUUCGAUUGUAGUGCUUUAAAAAGUUUAUCUAGUUAUAAAGAUGAGAUAUUGAUUAAAAUAACCACUAUAAAUGAGGUAAUUAACAAAAAAAGAACAAAAAAAAACCACAUUUAUCUCGAUUUUUAAAAAUAAUCAACUUGUUUGAAAAAGGAUAUUCCAGAGGAAUAAUAUUUGUUCCAGAGUUGGUGAGAUUUGGCGUAAAGGUACUCCGAAAUCUAACAUGUUUGAAAUUAGAUUUGUCAUGUUCCAGAUUGUUUUGGGCUAUUCAUGUGUUGACAUAAAACUAUUUUAGACCGGUCCUGAACAACUCAUUCGAGACUUAUUUAGGUGUUGUUUGUUAUUUCUGAGCCAAAAUAUAUGCAAUAUGCGGACCACAUCUGUAGACUCUGCAACAGAAGAGAUGAACUAAACGUUUGCAGUCUGAAAAAAGAAGACGGUUUAUUUUUUUAACAUUUGCGGACUAUUAAAAUAAGCUAAAAUCUAAAUAAACUGAUUAUUCUAACUACAAAGUGAUUUUUUUAAUAUUUUUAUGAUUUUAUUAUAAAUAAUUAACAAAUCUAGAUUAGCUUUUAUGUAUUAUUGUAUAAAAGGUGAAAAUAAAAAUGAUACAAAUUAACGUAUAUAUUUGAUAAAAACCAACAAUUUUUGUCGUAAAGUUAUAUCUAAACAUUGUAAUUAUGAAUCAAAGAAUUUGAUACAUAAAUGAUGGAAAUAAACUUCGAUUUUUCAAUUAAAUCAAUUAAAAUCAUACCAUAAAUAUUUUUCUAAGAAAUUGACGAUACUGUAUUACAUAAUGUUUUAUAAAAUUUGGCACAAAAAAUAUAAAAAUAUAUUGUGAUUUUUUUUUCAUAUUUAUAUAAACAACUUCAAUGACCAUUAUCGUAAUAAAUUUUUAUUUAUAAAUUUGUCAAAAAUAUCAUGUUUGUGUCGCCAAACUUUUUUUUAAGUAUUGUAACUUUUUUUUUCAUAUUGUUUAUCACUAAUAAAGUUGGAAUAAAUAUAAAUUCAAAAAAAACAAAAAAAAUAAAGAUAUAUUUGUUUUUUUAGACUAGAAGAUGUUAAAAGAGUCUGAUCUAUAUCUGCACCAAAAGAGAGCGCAUAGACAUUUUUAGGUAUGUAGUCUUCAAAAAGACAAACAGUCUGCAAAGGCUAAGACCAUCUCCAACCCACUCCCAUUUUUUCCCCAAAAAAUGGAAUAAAAAAUGGGGUAAAUAGUGUUUCAUUUCCAACCCUAUUUCAUUUUUUACUCCAUUUUUAACCCCCAAAAGUAUAUUCCAAGUAUAUUAUAUUAUUUCAACUUAGAUAAAUUGCCGAACACAACCCUCUACUAAUUUAGUUUUAACAAAUAAAAAUAAAUUUUAUAUUUUUGAUUAAUUAAUAUAAUUUAUUAUAUUUCAUAAUAUUAUAAAUAUUAAACAUUAUAUUUAAAUUAAUUCUAAUAGAUAAAAAUAAAAUAUAAAUGUAUAAAUAUAUAAAAUUAGGGACUAAACCCGACAACUGAAACUUCAUCCCCAUAUUUGGAGAUAUGAAUAGUAUCACCCCAUAUAUNNNNNNNNNNNNNNNNNNNNNNNNAUACUAUUCAUAUCUCCAAAUAUGGGGGGAAAUGGGGUAGGGUUGGAGAAGAAUGAGAGAGAAAAUGGAGGAAAAAAUGGCAUUUGGAGGUGGGUUGGAGAUGCUCUAAUGUCUGCGCGCGUGGUCUACGCUAUGCAAACAGAAGAGACUAAGAAGAUCUGCGGACAAAAAACAAACACCACCUUAAUGUUGAUUUUAUUUUCAUUAGCAACACCAUCCCUUCUCAAGAAAAUUUUGGCAACCUUAUUUGGAAUAUGUUUGGAUACAUCGCCUGUUCAUCAAAAUCGCAACACAUAAUGGUCUUAUAUUGUAUUUUACUUCAUUAUUGGUAUGUUUUUUGGAGUUUUAUCAAUAUGAGCCUGAACAAAACAUCCUACACAUUGUUUUGGAAUAGUUCGUCGUAUUUUGGACGUGUUCGUUGUAAUCUAGACCAUAAGACGUGUUCCGGAUUGAUGUGUGUGUGCCCACAAGACAAUUUUUCUGAGUACCAUACUCAGAAUUAGCAUAUAUUUGUGGUUUCUUUUUGUUUUAAAGCAGACUAGAAAUACUUAAAGAGCGAUCUAGAAAGAUCGUCGGUUAACAAGAAGGAAACCAAAGAAGUCCUCAUGUCAAAAGUUGUUUUUUUUUUAAAUAUUCCAUGUAUAUUUAGACUUGGUUUUGAGUGCCUUACCUAAUACCUGUACCAAAGGUGCACAUUAAGCAAUCCAAACAUCUCUUGAAAAAUACAUCUGGUAUCCGGUAUUUUGGCUACAUGUAACCAAAUAUAUGCAGAUCAACACACAUGUAUUGCAUUUGGUUACAAUUUAGGUUUUAGUUUUAGACAAUGUUAAUGUAUUUAUUGUAUUUCGUUAUAGUGUAGAGUUGAUGUAUGGGUAUUGUAAUUUAUUUGGUUAUAUGUAAAUGAUAGGAAAAUGACAUAAAAGCCCUUAAGUUUUCAUAAAAAUAUCGGUUUUACCCUUUAACGUGUUUUAUGUCCAGUAAAACUCGAAGUUUUGUUUGAUUUGUUCAUUUUUACCCUUGUAGUCGGUUUCCAGGUAACCUACCGGUUACCUAAUGCCAGUAAAGCCCUUAAAUUUUCAAAAAUGUUUGGAUUUACCCUUACGUUUUUCGAAAAUAUUCGGAUUUACCCUUACCUUGAUUGUUAUUUUGAUUAUUAUUAUUAUUAUUAUAAUAACAAUCAAUGCAAGGGUAAAUCCGAACAUUUUUGAAAAACUUAAAGGUAAAUCCGAACAUUUUUGAAAAUUCAAGGGCUUUACUGGCAUUAGGUAACCGGUGGGUUACUUGGAAACCGGCUACAAGGGUAAAAAUAAACAAAUCAAACAAAACUUCUGGCUUUACUAGACAUAAAACACAUCCAAGGGUAAAACCGAUAUUUUUGUGAAAACUUAAGGGCUGUUAUGUCAUUUUACUUAAAUGAAGAUAUUUCCUUAUUUAUUUUUGUUGUUAUAUGUUUUUCCAAAAUGAUUAUUAUGUGUUGUUUUUGUUUCUUUUGCAUACAAUGUAUUUGCUUAUAUAUUAUUAUAAUGCAUUUUGUUAAUUCAUUAUCCAAAUGAUAAAUAGAUAAUACUAUUGGAAACUAAGCUUGGAUUUACCACAAUAAUAAAACAAUAGUUAUCUUACUCUCGAACGAUCAAGUCUAGAAUCACGUACUAGCAUCGCGUAUUCUUGAAUGACGUGUUAUAGAAUAAGUGGUUCCAAAAUGGUUUGUUACCAAAAUCUAACAAAUCUGGAAUGCUUUGUUUUUUACUAAAAAAAAGUUUGAAAUCUAAUGAAUGAUCAAUAGAUAAUACUAUUGGAAACUAACAAAUGAUAAAGAUAAAAUCUAACAAAUGAUCAAUAGAUAAUACUAUUGGAAACUAAGCUCGGAUUUACUACAAUCAUAAAAUAAUAGUUAUCUUACUCUCGAACGAUCAACUCUAGAAUCACGUACUAGCAUCGCGUAUUCUGGAAUGACGUGUUAUAGAAUAGGUGGUUCCAAAAUGGUUUGGUACCAAAAUCUAACAAAUUUGGAAUACUUUGUUUUUUACUAAAAAAAAAGUUUGAAAUCUAAUGAAUAAUUUCAGACUUAUCAUUACGAAGUCCAAAAUCUUUCAAAAACAAGUCCAAAAUGACAAAAUGUGAGUUGUAGGUUUUGUCUUCUUAUAAGUCUUUGUUGCAUGUUAGUGAUUUUGUUGAAAGUGGCAUCACUUCAUAUUUUAGAUACAAGUCCAGAAUAAGUAUUUACGACAAAAUGGUUAUUUUUGCAAAACAUAAAAAAAUUGGCUAUUUUCGUGAAACACCUCAUUUAUUAAGUGCUUAGUUUAAUCAAAAACAUAUUGUGUGGUUUGUAAGAUAUAACACUAAAAACGUUUUAGUAUCUUUAGCAAUGAGAAAAUGACUUAGGAGGGUAACUACCUUUUAUCCGUGUUCACAUAUUGGUAACUUCUUUUUUGUACAUAAUAAAGCAACUAACUUGUUUUAACUGUUUAAAUUACACCAAUAUUACCGGCUAAUACCUGUUUUAACCGGUAACUCAAAGGAAAAAUGACUUAGGAGGGUAACUACCUCUUAUCCGUGUUCACAUGUUGGCAACUUCUUAUUUUUGUACAUAAGAAAGCAACUAACUUGUUUUAACUGUGUAACAUCCCAAAAAUCAUGACCAAAAAUUUCGUUUUUAAUUUAAUACUAAAACCAUAAUUGUCAAACCAUUAAUUUAAUACUCCGACAUCGGGCCCCGCCCGGCUUCAGGCCCUGCCUAGCAUCGAGCCUCGCUCGGUAUACAGGUCUAUCUCUCUUAGGCCCCGCCUGUCUCCGGGCCCCGCUCACUAAACACAUACAAUCAAUAAAGAAACAUACUCUACUAUAUCCCUGUCCUAAGAAACAUACUCUGCUAAUAAUGAGAUACGGAACAUCGUCCGUACUCAGCUAAUGAUGAGAUAUGGGACCUCACCCACACUCACCUCCUUACCAGGCACAUACAAGUAUCACAAAGACAACAAGUAUAAUCUAACAUGCAAACAUUCCUCGGGCACCCGCCCGACAUCGGACCUUGGUCUAGAAUAACAUACUAGCAUACAAUGUCUGGGGCUAACCCCCAGAUAUUCCUACUCAUAUACUACAUGGGUUGACAUUGUGGCCUUAGACCCAUUCACACAGUGAGGAGACUCACCUUGCACUGCUGAAGCCCUGGUUGGAACUAGUUGAGUACGGACGAUGUUUCGUAUCUCAUUAUUAGCAGAGUAUGUUUCUUAGGACAGGGAUACGGUAGAGUAUGUUUCUUUAUAUGUUACCAUGUUAUAUGAUUGCAUGUGUUUAGUGGGUGAGGCCUAAGAGAGACAGAUCUGUAUACCGAGCGGGGUUCGAUGCCAGACGGGGCCUGAUGCCGGGCGGGGCCCGAUGCCGGAGUAUUAAAUUAAUGGUUUGACAAUUAUGGUUUUAGUAUUAAAUUAAAAACAAAAUUUUUGUUCAUGAUUUUUGGAUAUUACACUGUUAAAACAAGUUAGUUGCUUUCUUAUGUACAAAAAAUAAGAAGUUGUCAAUAUGUGAACACGGAUAAGAGGUAGUUACCCUCCUAAGUCAUUUUCCCUUUGAGUUACCGGUUAAAACAGGUAUUAACCGGUAAUAUUGGUGUAAUUUAAACAGUUAAAACAAGUUAGUUGCUUUAUUAUGUACAAAAAUUAAAAAAAAAAGUUGUCAAUAUAUGAACACGAAUAAGAGGUAGUUACCUUCCUAAGUCAUUUUCCCCUUUAGCAAUUUAUUUUCAUUUAUUUGUUUAUUAUAUGGUAUUAGAUUUAUUUAUUUCUAUUGUAGCACCCUUAUAUAAAAUGUGUGUCGAUCAUCCAAAUAUAAAACAAUUCAUUAUUAUUAUUCUAUAAAUUUAUAAAAUACAAUUCUAUAAUAUGGUUGGUUUUUCGAAACAAAAAAUUCUGAAAAAAAUGAUUGCAACAGAAAAUGGAAAUAAAAUGGUACGAAGAACCUUGCUAUGUGUUUGCGUUUAGACUUUUAGACAAAAGAAAAGUUGUUUUCUUCACAAAAUUGCAAUCAAGUUUCAUUCUAAAACAUGUGAUAUUUUAAUUGUGUUUAGGGAAGUGUUUGAUAGCAAGUGUUUGAGAGCUUCUAACUUUUCAGAUUUUAACAAAAAAAAUUCAAUUUAACUGAAAAGUAUUGUUUGGGAGUAGUUAAAUUUUUAGUUUAAAAAAAACUCCAAAUUCAAAAAGUACUUCAUGUAGCAUUUAAAAACUAUUUUUUAAAAAAUUAAUUUCCAAAAUUGCCUUUAUAAUAUAUUUAUAUAUUUAUUUUUUUUAUACAAUUGUCAAUUUAUGUAAUUAUAUAGAUUUCAAAAAAUUUUGAAUACUUUUGUCAAAAAUUCAUAAAAGAAAUGAAAGAUACAUGCUACCGGUUUUAAACUUUUAGUUUCUAUGACAACCCGAAAUUCAUUUCUUGUACAAUCAUUCAAUUCAGUUAAAGUCAGAUUUGUUUCUGCUAACUUUUAGCACUGCUUAGAGUCUGUUUGAGCAUUUUAAGCCUAGUAACCACCAUAAGGAAUGAUAACAAGUGUAUUCUAGAGUUCAGUACACUGCAUAUAGCCGGAAAACUCCAAGGAUUGGAGUUUACGACCGUAAACUAGAGUUUACGGCCGUAAACUCUUGGUUGGCCGAGAACUCCCCCAUAUAAAUGAUAUUCCUUCACUUUUCUUCAUNUCCAACACUUUUACCAUUUCCAAGCCAAGAAAUCAGGUUUUGCUCUCAACUAUCAUUAAGAAUCUUCACUUUUCUUCCAAAAAUGUAAGUUUUUUUAUCCCUUGUCUAGUUGAUACAUCUUCUUAUCUAGCAUUACCCCCUUGAUUCAAUCCACUAACUUCAUCUUUUGGGGUUAGAUCUUCAAGAACACAUUUGUGUUUUGGUCCAAAAUCGCCCUUUUAAGCUUCUAUAUCGUAAGUAUUACUUCCCUAUACUCGAUAUCUAGUUGAAUCACAUGCUAAACACCCUGAAAUCGUCCAUUCACAAGAACAAGAGGUGUUUACGGCCAAGAGCAUCUCCUUUGGCUGUAAACCCUAGUUUGAGGUGUAUAUGAGCCUUAAACUCUUCCUAAGGCUUGGACUUGAGGCUAGAACCCUUCCUUGUGGUUUGUAAGACCUUAAAACACCCCCAUUGACACUUUUAAUCAUGAGUUUAUGGCUGUAAUCUCAUUGGCCGUAAACUCAUUGGCCGUAAACACAUGUGGUCGUGAACACUUGGCCGUAAACUCCAAGUGUGGCCGUAAACUCACCUUAUACGCAAUCCUUUAUGAUUUUUACCUUCCCAUUCAAGUGUACCCUAGUCCCUAAGGUGUUUCCCUUACCUGAUUAGUUGGAUAAACACUAAUUUUAUACAUAUAUGUGUCAUUAUAUACUAAAUAGGAUCCGUGUGUGUGUGCUCAAGACUUCACCUGACACUUAGCAUCCUAUACCACUCUUUCAUCUGAACCACUUAUCACAGGUGAGUUCAUACCCCUUAAUCUACCUUUUAAAUAAUUUUAAAUGCUUUUAUGAGGGGAAUACAAGUUGAAUCAUUAUAGUUAUUAUAUCAAUCGUAUGUGAUUAAUAACUAGAGCAAACAUAUAGAUUUCUUAUACUUUCAAAAUGUGUUAUCAAUCUUUAUCAAAUUCUUUUCAAACUAAAACUAUUUAUUCAAACUCUUUUACAUAUAUAUUGUCAACAAUCAUGUCUAUAUAGAUAUAGUUAUAUAAGUAAGGUUGAAAAGACUUAGGACUGAUAACUCACUUUAUUUCCUGUUCCUUGUUUGGUUGUGGACUUAGAGUAUUCGGUUGUUUGUCUGAGUUUCGUUUGAACCUUAGUUAUAUAUCAUGUAUAUGUAUAUAGAUAUAAAAGCUUUUAUUUCAGUUCAAUACACAAGCAGUCAUUCAAACAACAUUACUAGUAAACUAUAAUAGGUAUAGUUUAAGAGGUUACUACUCACUAUUACUGGUACAAUGAAACAUACCAGAUUCAGUUCAUUUAUGAAUCAGUACAAACUUACUAAUAUGAGAGACAUAAAGAACAUAUUAUGACGAGAGACUAAGAGAGCAUACACUAUACUAUACAAGAGAACAUAUUAUACGCUAGUACAUAGAGAAUAUUCAAUACACUAUAAUAUACUCUACAAACACUAGAAUACGAUAACUAGAAUGUGAAAUACUACUUCAUGAUACGACAAUACAUUGUUGUAUCACAUUGUAUCCAGAGUCUCCUGGAGGGAGAGCGGGCAUCGUGUGUAUAGUUCUAUACGGGACAGACACUCCCAUACCCCGAUUGCUAGCUGCAGUCCCAGCCGGUAAGCCCAAGGGGUGACAAAAUGUCACCUCACUAUUUUAUGACACCGAAAGGGUUGUCAGGUAUUCAACCGUCAAUCAGCAUGGUUACAAACUAAUUCACAUCUAAACCUUUAAUUAACCAAAUAGGAAUUAAAGCCAAUAAGACUGUCCAAGGAGUAUGGUACAUUUAAUACGACCUUGAGUCUUCAUUUUUAUCAUUUCACAGUCAGUAGUUUCACUGAUGAGAUAGAACACUUUUUUUUUUUCCUAAUAGAUGAUAGCAAUAAGUGGGAGAAAACAUAUUUUUACACAGUAACAAAGUACUACCAUAUUUGCCCUACUAUUACAAGUACAUAUGUAAACAUUACAUUUUUAUACAAAAACAAACAUGUAAAACAGUCGAGCCUCGGGUAGAAGGCUACAUUAUUUAUAAGCAGGAAAUAUAGGAUUUUUCGGGAAAAAUUUACAAACUUUUCAAGGUUUCAAAUACAAACAUUUCGAGGUUUUUAACUACUAAGUGACACUAAAUACUUAUGAACUCACCAACAUUUUAUGUUGAUCCUCUCUUUCAAAAUAACUUGUAUUCUUAGGGAACCAGUAAGACAGGUACACCCAUGCAGCUUUUGAAGGACGGAGUGGAUCCAAGACUCGUCUUUUGAUUGUACAUUUUGGUGUCAUUUAAACCUUACAAAAGAACACACAUGUAUUUAACUAUUCUAUUAAUGCAAUGGAUUUUGUUGCUUGUUUUUACUAUUAUGCAUUGUUAUGAUACUGCACAUGACGUCCUCCACCCCCGAAUUUUUCCGCCAAUUCGGUUUGGGGGUGUGACAGUUUUGAGCUAAAAACUGAGCUAAAAACUAAAUAUGUAAAAACAUACAUUUAGUUUAGAAGGUGGACAAG